rnacentral:rRNA from 1 species
AUACGGAGGAUCCGAGCGUUAUCCGGAUUUAUUGGGUUUAAAGGGUGCGCAGGCGGGAGAUUAAGUCGGCGGUGAAAUUUUGCAGCUCAACUGUAAAAGUGCCUUCGGAACUGGUUUUCUUGAGUGUAGAUGAAGUAGGCGGGAUUUGUGGUGUAGCGGUGAAAUGCAUAGAUAUCACGAGGAACUCCGAUUGCGCAGGCAGCUUACUAAACUACUACUGACGCUCAGGCACGAAGGCGUGGGGAUCAAACAGGAUUAGAUACCCUGGUAGUCCACGCAGUAAACGAUGAUUACUAGCUGUUUGCGAUACAAUGUAAGCGGCUGAGCGAAAGCGUUAAGUAAUCCACCUGGGGAGUACGUUCGCAAGAAUGAAACUUAAAGGAAUUGACGGGG